rnacentral:tRNA from 1 species
GCCAGCGUGGCACAAUCUGGUACUGCGCAAGCCUGGAAAGCUUGUUGGCUUCGGCCUAUCCCGGUUCAAAUAUCAAACUGUGUUUAAUACACAAAAAAACGCAGUUUUUUUGAAUGUCCGGGCGCUGGCG